UUUUUGCUCCCAGAGUGGAUUUAACAUCACAAAGAAGUAACAUAUGGUUUCAUCUUUUGCUAAGGUAUUACUUUUAUUCUUUUUCCUUUGCCUUUUUUUUUUUUUUUUUUUGAUGUAAAAUAAAUAAUCCAUGCAGAAAAUGGAAAGUAACGGUGUAAGGACUGAAAACUCUAAAUCAAGCAAUGGGCCAUGGAAGCAGAACUGUGUGGAGGUGAAGGGCACCCUCAGGACUUAUUUACGUGUAUCUAGAUAAUUUACUUUAGUUUUAAGAGACUGCUUGAGUCCAAUUACAGUCACUUUGCAUUGAUGUAACUGUCACACUUGAUUUGUGUACACAGUGAUUGUACAAAAUCACACACAGGUGAAAUGUGGCCUGACAGUUCCCUUGUAACUCCAGGAAAGGUUUGUUCUGUACCAUUUAUUUUGCUGUGAUUUGGAAACUGAUAGGAAGGUGCAGGUGGGAUGGGUACCUGUGGGCACUCUGUAUGUGAUGCUGGUUGCUGGCUCUGACUUCCCACUCCAGGGCUAAACCAGAGGCUUGGCAGUGUGGGAGCAAGGAGAAUCCAGGUACCAUGUGAAAGCAGCACCUUAACGCAGCAAAAGCCCCAAGCAGCUCCUCAGGAUUUGGUGGUGUGGAGUGCAAUAGCCAAGGGAGGGAGUUGGAACAGGCAAAAGUUGCCCCCCAUUCUGCUUCACCACAUAUGGUAGCGAAGAAGGGAUUGACAUUGACACUAAUGGGAAGGAGAUACUGCCAUGGUUUCCCAAAAAUGAGACAGAAUGUUUUCUCCUGAGGGGUAUGCGUUGGAAACAGACAAAAGGGAGGACAUGCAACUGUCAGACAAGUACAGAGGGGUGAAGCACAUCUAUGUCAACAAGGAUGCAACGCAGAACAGAAACCUGGAUCAAUAUUCUGUCAGACCCUUUAAUUAUGAGCUCAUUUUGUUGUACUGAUGUAAGUAAAUCCUUAAUUCUGAAGGAACUUGUGCCUAGGGGAAAGGAGUGCAAGAGAUUCUGAUAUCCCCAUAGACAGCAGCUGAUGGGAAGCAUGAUACAGUGAAGAGAGGUAAAACCUUAACCAGUCUGGAAUUCAGAAGCAGUGGAGGUAACCAAGGAGAAGAGAAUAUGGACCUCAGAAGAAGACAUUAUUUUAGGAACAUGUGUAGAUAUAUAUAGAGAGAGAGAUUUGACCCAUGUUUUUAUCAGAUGAGAAAUCCAAUAUAAAAGGAAGUCACUGUGGUAAAGAAUGUAAGGUUGUAAGAAAAUCUCUUCACAAAUUCUUUAUUUCCACGUUGGAGUUCAGGAACAGAGGAAUGUAAGAUCAAACCAGCUCACAUGCUGCAAC
rnacentral:lncRNA from 12 species